rnacentral:rRNA from 2 species
CACCUCCAGCAUUCCCAGUAUUGGAGGCAUUGCCUGCCCAGUGACAACUGUUUAACGGCCGCGGUAUCCUGACCGUGCAAAGGUAGCAUAAUCAUUUGUUCUCUAAAUAAGGACUUGUAUGAAUGGCCGCACGAGGGUUUUACUGUCUCUUACUUCCAAUCAGUGAAAUUGACCUUCCCGUGAAGAGGCGGGAAUGCACAAAUAAGACGAGAAGACCCUAUGGAGCUUUAACUAACCAACCCAAAGAGAAUAAAUUUAACCAUUAAGGAGUAACAACAAUCUCCAUGAGUUGGUAGUUUCGGUUGGGGUGACCUCGGAGAAUAAAAAACCCUCCGAGCGAUUUUAAAGACUAGACCCACAAGUCAAAUCACUCUAUCGCUCAUUGAUCCAAAAACUUGAUCAACGGAACAAGUUACCCUAGGGAUAACAGCGCAAUCCUAUUCAAGAGUCCAUAUCGACAAUAGGGUUUACGACCUCGAUGUUGGAUCAGGACAUCCUGAUGGUGCAACCGCUAUCAAAGGUUCGUUUGUUCAACGAUUAAAGUCCU